rnacentral:lncRNA from 1 species
GACCUAGUAUCUCCCACAAUUUCAUCCUGUUUGCCUCUGUGUAGUGAAUACAACCCUGCCCCCCCCCGUGCUCGCUGCGACCGUCAGAGGUCUCCGAGCUACAGCCUACAGAGUCAUUAACCACGCCUCUCAACAACUUAUUUUUUUGGUUGCACCAGCACCUCGUUGAACCUGUUAUUUGACUCUCCACUUGGUUUCUUUCUUUGAUAGUGCGCCUCUUCUGCCUGCCUUGUUGCCUGCCUCAACUAAACCUAACCCCAAUCAUACUGCUAAACUUAUGCCUAAACACAACUUUUUUUUUUUCAGCUGAAAGACUACGGUAUGCCCGGAGCUUACCCAUAAUGUUGCACAAUGAUUUAAGUCAAGUCAACAGAUAAAAUUACGCACAUUUCGAUCUGACUAUACGUGUCUUGCGAGGGCUGGCUUUAGUUAAUUUGGAACCAUCUACAAAACAUGUACAUGUGUGGGCUCAUUACCUCCGGUUUACAACCUGGUGAUACGGCUUCUGUCUGUAAUGCACUUAGUUCGAUCUGGAGCCAUUGGAUGGGCUGAUGACUAUCCAUCCCAGCACCCCUCUGCUCUGCAUGGCCACAGAAGUGAAAUCAUGGCCAGACUCACACCUUCCUCUCCACGGAAAACGUUUUGUGAUUAUCAACUUGGGUUGUGUACGUUUUGUUCUGUAGGAUUACAGUUUAGAAGAGCCACUGACCAUCAAGGGGCACAGGCUGGGUUGCAGAAAUGAUUGGACGGGAAGACCGACUGCAAGGAGAGGCUGACCGAGAUGAAGGCUAAAUUACAAGGACUGUCCUUGGAAGAAAGGGGAGAGGUGCUUGAGCUGGUCGCUUCCAGUCUACCUUGAGUGAUUUUUGAAUACCGGAGAGGUAUCUCAGGGUCUCCAGACAUCCCAGAGCAUGGACAACCUCGCUGGUGCACCUGCCUGAAUUGCAGGGGGACUCCUACACCUUACGACACAAAACUGCUGCCAUUUCACCGCUGCACUAUUCCGUAUAUUUAUUACCAAGUAUGUUUACAUAACAGUUGAACUUUCCACCACUACACUGUACUUUAUUCUUCAUUUGGAUCUCAAUUAUGAAAAAUAUUUCAUUUGGGGACAUCUUUGUAAAUAGUUUUUUUUGUGAUUAUUUUUCCCCCAGUCUGGGUGAUAUCAUUUCAGUACCUUACACCAGGGGUGUCAAACACAUUCCAUGGAGGGUUUAAUGUCUGCAGGUAUUGGGUUUUUCCUUUCAUUUAAGACAACCAGUUGAGGGAAGCUCUCUACUAAUUGGUGACCUUAAUUAAUCAAUCAAGUACAAGGGAGGAGUAAAAACCCACAUACACUCAGCCCUCCAUGGAAUGAGUUUGACACAUGCCUUACUGUGCUUUUUUUAAUUUGGAGAAAGUUACAGAAAUUACCUUGUAUUUUUGUUUAUCUCUCAAAUAAAACUUUAUUUGACCUUAUCUGUGUAAUCAGACCGACUUGUUUUGUACUGUAUUUACACCAGAGUAGUCCAUCCAUUUUUCUGGAUAUAUACCCAACUGUAGGUCUGCUAAUUUGUAGUGAAAAUUGUCAAUAGUAUACAUAUCCAGAAAAAGAUAACAGUUUAGUAAAUAAUUCCAAAACCAUUCCAAAAGUUAAAUAAUGAUGCCUAUAUGCUUGAUAAAGAAUGCACAAAUAUUGUUUCUCACACAAGUUUGUUGCCCACACAAACUUCCCUUAUUUACAUAUGAUUUAUAUGUUUGGUUGCAGGCCCACCACUUUCAACAACAUUUCUGAGUACUCUGUAGGUUUUCACACUUCCCGGGAAAUCUGACAAUAGGGAAAGCUCAGGUGUGCUAACUGCAUCUUGUGUUGCGUGGCGACUUCUCCUCAAAGUUGUAGCAGCUCAGCCAUUGUUGGUGGUGGCUCUUCAGGAGUCUUGGUUCAUCUGAUCUCAGGAUCAUUCUCCUUGGAAGCCCCAAGCGAGAGCCGUUCUUCUCAACAUUGCUUUCGUUCUGGGAUGGAUGUGUAGUCCUAUGCAGUUUUCAAUGCGUAGACACAG